rnacentral:rRNA from 1 species
GACGAACGCUGGCGGCGUGCCUAAUACAUGCAAGUCGAACGCAUUUUCUUUCACCGUAGCUUGCUACACCGAAAGAAAAUGAGUGGCGAACGGGUGAGUAACACGUGGGUAACCUGCCCAUCAGCGGGGGAUAACACUUGGAAACAGGUGCUAAUACCGCAUAAUUCCAUUUACCGCAUGGUAGAUGGAUGAAAGGCGCUUUUGCGUCACUGAUGGAUGGACCCGCGGUGCAUUGGCUAGUUGGUGGGGUAACGGCCUACCAAGGCUGCGAUGCAUAGCCGAACGGGGGGGGGGGUCGGCCACACUGGGACGGGGACAGGGCCCAGACUCCUAAGGGAGGGAGCAGUAGGGAAUCGUCGGCAAUGGAGGGAAGUCUGGACGAGCAACGCCGGGGGAGUGAAGAAGGUUCUCGGAUCGGAAAACUCUGUUGUUAGAGAAGAACAAGGAUGAGAGUGGAAAGUUCAUCCCUUGACGGUAUCUAAACAGAAAGCCACGGCUAACUACGUG